GCCUGGGUGGCUCAGUCGGUUGGGCAUGUGACUUCGGCUCAAGUCGUGAUCUCACAGUCCGUGGGUUCGAGUCCCACGUCGGGCU
rnacentral:tRNA from 1 species